rnacentral:rRNA from 1 species
UACGUAGGGUGCGAGCGUUGUCCGGAAUUACUGGGCGUAAAGAGCUUGAGGUGGUUGGUUCGUGUGUUCGUGAAAUCUCACGGCUUAACUGUGAGCGUGCGGGCGAUACGGGCAGACUAGAGUACUGCAGGGGAGACUGGAAUUCCUGGUGUAGCGGUGGAAUGCGCAGAUAUCUGGAAGAACACCGGUGGCGCAAGGCGGCUUGCUGGGCUGUAACUGACACUGAGGAAACGAAAGCGUGGGGAGCGAACGAGG